CACUGCUAUCAUGGAUACAAAGUCUCUAUUCACCACAGGGUCUUUUAAAGCCCUAAAACCCUUUCUAGAUUGGAGACCCACUUCUGAUCGGACUCUAGAUGCUUCACGGCUGUCUGAUCAGUACCGUAAAUCUCCUCAGACCUAGAUCACGCUCGAUCAAGCUCCAUCAGACCCAAGUCACGCUCGCAAGCCAUCUGCACCGUCCAAUCGCAUGCCAGAUUGGAUCUCA
rnacentral:lncRNA from 1 species